rnacentral:rRNA from 1 species
AGUACGUGAAACCGCCCAGAGGUAAACGGGUGGAUCCGCAAAGUCGGCCCGCGGAAUUCAGCUCGGCGCGCGGUCUGGGACGGCUGCGGUUCGGGAUCCCUGGGACCCGUCCGCGGCGUCGUGCCGGGCUCCGCCGAGUGCACUUUCCGCGGGCAGAGCGCCACAACCGGUCUCGCGGGCGGCGAGAAGCCGGGCGGGAAGGUAGGUCUGGGCGGCAACGCUCAGACUGUUACAGCCCGUCCUGGCGCGCCGCUCCGGGAUCGAGGGACUACCGCACGCUUCGAGGCUACCUG